GAGGUUCCGGUUCUGUGGUGAUCUGGACUGUCCCGACUGGGUCCUGGCAGAAAUCAGCACGCUGGCCAAGAUGUCCUCUGUGAAGUUGCGGCUGCUCUGCAGCCAGGUACUAAAGGAGCUGCUGGGACAGGGGAUUGAUUAUGAGAAGAUCCUGAAGCUCACGGCUGACGCCAAGUUUGAGUCAGGCGAUGUGAAGGCCACAGUGGCAGUGCUGAGUUUCAUCCUCUCCAGUGCGGCCAAGCACAGUGUCGAUGGCGAAUCCUUGUCCAGUGAACUGCAGCAGCUGGGGCUGCCCAAAGGUACGGGUUGUGGGUUGGCAGCUGGGCAGCCUGUCGGCCAAGGGCUGCUAGAGAGGGGACAGGCCCUGAGGUGUACCCUGCCCUGUUUGGGCCAGGAGCCCAAGCCCAGCCCCCACCUGCUACCUCCAGAGCUUCUCCAUUCUACCCCCAGAGCACGCGGCCAGCCUGUGCCGCUGUUAUGAGGAGAAGCAAAGCCCCUUGCAGAAGCACUUGCGGGUCUGCAGCCUACGCAGUAAGUAUGAGGCCAGCCAGGGUCCGGGCUCAUUCUAGAAGGUGCACGCAGCACGCAAAGUGCAUGGAGAGUCCAGGGAGACGACUUAACCACGGUCACAUGGUUACUAGCAGCCGUAGAGCUGGGACCUGGCCCUGGGUCUCCUGACUCCCCCCAAGGUUUCUUGUCACUGAGGUCUGCUGUGGGUGAUGCGAACUGAUUAUCGGGCACCUGCCCUGUUCUGAGCCUGGG
rnacentral:sRNA from 1 species